rnacentral:rRNA from 1 species
AUUGAACGCUGGCGGCAGGCCUAACACAUGCAAGUCGAACGGUAACAGGAAGACGCUUGCUUCUUUGCUGACGAGUGGCGGACGGGUGAGUCAUGUCUGGGAAACUGCCUGAUGGAGGGGGCUAACUACUGGAAACGGUAGCUACUACCGCAUAACGUCGCAAGACCAAAGAGGGGGACCUUCGGGCCUCUUGCCAUUGGAUGUGCCCAGAUGGGAUUAGCUAGUAGGUGGGGUAACGGCUCACCAAGGCGACGACCACUAGCUGGUCUGAGAGGAUGACCAGCCACACUGGAACUGAGACACGGUCCAGACUCCUACGGGAGGCAGCAGUGGGGAAUAUUGGACAAUGGGCGAAAGCCUGAUGCAGCCAUGCCGCGUGUAUGAAGAAGGCCUUCGGGUUGUAAAGUACUUUCAGCGGGGAGGAAGGGAGUAAGGUUAAUACCUUCGCUCAUUGACGGUACCCGCAGAAGAAGCACCGGCUAACUCCGUG